rnacentral:rRNA from 1 species
GCAGGAAUAUUGUGCAAUGAACGAAAGUUUGACCACAGCGACACCGCGUGUGGGAUGACGGAUCUAGGUUUGUAAACCACUUUCAGAGGGAAGAAAAUGACGGUACCUUCCCCAAGAAGCCCCGGCCAAUUACGUGCCAGCAGCCGCGGUAAUACGUAGGGGGCGAGCGUUGUCCGGAUUUAUUGGGCGUAAAGAGCUCGUAGGCGGUUCAACAAGUCGGUAGUAAAAGUUCAGGGCUCAACCCUGAAAUGUCUAUCGAUACUGUUGUGACUAGGACACGGCAGAGGUGAGUGGAAUUCCGAGUGUAGCGGUGAAAUGCGUAGAUAUUCGGAGGAACACCAAUUGCGAAGGCAGCUCACUGGGCCGCUAUCGACGCUGAGGAGCGAAAGCUAGGGGAGUAAACAGGAUUAGAUACCCUGGUAGUCCUAGCUGUAAACGAUGGAUACUAGACGUAGGAACUGGAUUGACGGUUUCUGUGUCGUAGCUAACGCGUUAAGUAUCCCGCCUGGGGAGUACGGUCGCAAGACUA